rnacentral:lncRNA from 1 species
ACCUUCAGUUCAGGAGUGCCUGACAAGUUUGAACAGAAAACCCUGCACCACUCUGGGAGCAGCAUUGGGCCAGCGAGCCCUUUGAUUGCAAUCAGCGAGUUGGCAGGAAUCCCAGGAACUCGCACAAAAAUGCUUUGAAGAGGCCAGAUGCACAAGGUGUGUCCCUGUGAGCGUGUGGGGUGCGGAGCAGUGAUUCACGGCAUCGCCAUGCGAUGCUUGGUGCGCGCACAUGCAGCCGCUGGACCGCAGCGAAGGCCCCCGUCUCCCUCCGAUCACCAGCUGCCUUUUUUUUUCUUUUCUUUUUGUUAAUCUCUUCAGUCUUUCGCCUAUCCUGCUCCAGAUUUGGUACAGGUUUUGUUUCCCUUUCAGCCUUCCCCCGCUGCUGCCCCGGUGCCUGCGAGCUCCAGACAGAAAGGCAGACAGGGAAUUUGCUUCAGGCGCUUGCAGAUGCAAGCUCUGCUGCACUGGGCUUGCUGGGGAUGACACUCACCGUGCCCUGCUAAUACCUUUUGCUCUUUUAGAGGUGGGAUUGGAGUCAGUUGCAGAAACCUGGGAGAUUCCCUCCCUUGGGCUAGACUGUGCAAACUCACCCCGAAGAAACCAUUGUUUCUUGAAAGCCUCUGUAAGCUCCCUGUCCCCAGCUCCCCAGCCCAGCUCAGCAUUUUGGGCGAGUUAUGAAACAGGGCAGAUGCUGGAGCACAGCAUUUGUAUUAUCCGCCAGCAAAUGACUGGAUGUGAUAAACACUUGGCUCUCCCGUGCAGGGACAGGGUGAGGGCUGUUCCUUGCCGUGGGGAAAAUGACAUUACAGGUUUGCAAGAGCUGGGCACUUUGUUGUGCAGAAGCCAUCUGACGCUGACAGCCUGUCAUUGAUUUGCGAAAACAUCGUUUGGCAUCGAUAACAAGCGUUCAGGAGAAACAAGUAGGACACAGGAAAGCAACACCCAGGUAUUGCUUCGCUGUUCCCUAUCCAGACUGGAAGCGCACAGCCAUAUCUCCACUCUGAAAUGAGCACAGGAGCAGCAGAAAAUCCUCCUCCAUGUUCCUGCACAUUGGCAGUGGUCUUGGGCAGUGCUCACCCAGGCUGGCCUCCCCUGGGCAUGGCCUAAAUGUCCAAGCUGGUUGGGUGAUGGAGCAGAGUGAAGCUGCUGCAUCACUUGGGUGAGACGUUGGGAACCUUGGGGAGGGGAAGCCAAUGAUAAUUAGGCUCUAGUUGCUCUAGGUCUGAGUCUCAUUAACAGAGUUUGGGUUUCUGCUGCUGGGGUUCACUGGAGAAGCACCCUGGAGCAGCAGCAGGUGUACAAAGCUCAUCCUACCUAGGAACAUGCCCCGUGCUUUCUGAUAUUGCUCUUGUUCCCAUGAAAACCAAAGUGCGGCAUUGCUGUGGCCACCUGCGUGUCCACAAACCACCAGGGAAACACAAAACCUGAUGAAUGGGAAUGAAAUAAAGUGUGUUCGGUGUCCUCCUGCUGCUUUCGA